ensembl:lncRNA
CACAAAUUCAAAAGUAAAAUCUUUAAACAAAAAUAUUUAUUCUACAUAUGAAAAUGUCUUCAUGGGGUGAAGAAAUAUAAAACCAAUGUAAUGGAAAUAUAUAGUAUUUUAUGUCUUAAGUGUGUACCCACAAUGCAUUGUAAUAAUAUAGACAAAACAACCAGUGCUCAUAUUGUAGGGCACAGCAGUUCUCCUGGAGCUGCCCUGUCCAUAAGGUAGGCUGGGGUAGGGUAGGGUAGGCUUAGGUAGGCUAGGGUAGGGUAGGGCAAGGUUAGGUAAGCUAGGCUAGGGUAGGCUUGGGUUAGGUAGGCUUGGGUUAGGUAGGCUAGGGUAGAGUAUGGUUAUGUAGGCUUGGGUAGGGUAGGCUAGGGGUAAGGUUAGGUAAGCUAGGCUAGGCUAGGGUAAGGUUAGGUAGGCUUGGGUAAGGUAGGCUAGGGUAGGGUAAGGUUAAUCUAGGGUUAGGUAGGGUAGGUUAGGCUAGGGUCAGUUACGGUAGGGAAGAGCAGAAUAGGCUAUGGUAGGCUAGGGAAGGAUAGGGUGAGGUAGGGUCAGUUAGGGUGAGGCAGGCUGAGGGAGGGUCAGUUAGGGUGAGGUAGGGUCAGUUAGGGUGAGGUAGGGUCAGUUAGGGUGAGGCAGGCUGAGGGAGGGUCAGUUAGGGUCAGUUAGGGUGAGGGAGGGGGAGGGAGGGUCAGUUAGGGUGAGGUAGGGUGAGGGAGGCUGGCCCAUAAAGCCCAGCCUCCUACUUCUGGUCCAGCUUUGCUCCUCAGUAUUCUGCGUACUGCGACUGAAGCGACUGAAUCGAGCGGCUGAGGUAUCGCCCGGAGGCUGCCUUCAGCCCGCUGUAGGGAGCCUGCGGCCCCGGAUCCUUCUUCCCACUGGGCCUCCCAGGGGCGCCAAAGUACUGACCGGGGUCCUUGGGCGGCACUCGGGGGCCCCGGGGGAGGAGGGUGGCCGCGGGGGAGCGAGGAGAGGACGGGGGGUGAAGAGGGCUGUAGGUCUGCCUGGCCUCCUCCACCUCACCGCCGUAGAGGUCGCCCAGGGAGUUGCCUAGCCUGGAGUUAGCCGCAGUGCUGAGGAUCAAUGAAACUGUCAGAACUACGAAUAGCAGAUAGUGCAGAGGUUCUGCACCACGACCUCUACGCUAUGCUACUGCUAUGCUACCAAAGGAGCUGCUCUAAAGGUUCACUCAGGGAUUGAGUCCUCUACUUAGACUAGGACCUGGGGGUGAGUUCCUAAGACUCCUUCACCUCAGGUUAGGGUUAGGGUUAACUCCUUCACCUCAGGUUAGGGUUAACUCCUUCACCUCAGGUAAGGGUUAACUCCUUCACCUCAGGUUAGGGUUAGGGUUAACUCCUUCACCUCAGGUUAGGGUUAACUCCUUCACCUCAGGUUAGGGUUAGGGUUAACUCCUUCACCUCAGGUUUCACAAUACCGGCUUCAGCUGUGGUGAAUUCUCCUGCAUAGGUUUUAAACAUAUUGGGUUAGUUUGGGUUAGGGUAACCUAACCCUAGUUUAGAGAGGGUAACCUAACCCUAAACAUAUUGGGUUAGGGUAACCUAACCCUAACCCUAAACAUAUUGGGUUAGGGUAACCUAACCCUAACCCUAACCAUAUUGUUGCGGUCUGAGAAAAGUGGAAAAAAAUAAGACUGGUUCAGCGGCAUAUUCGACGCCUGGGGAAUGCUG